rnacentral:rRNA from 1 species
AGAGUUUGAUCCUGGCUCAGGAUGAACGCUGGCGGCGUGCUUAACACAUGCAAGUCGAACGAAGCACCUUGAUUUGAUUCUUCGGAUGAAGAUCUUGGUGACUGAGUGGCGGACGGGUGAGUAACGCGUGGGUAACCUGCCUCAUACAGGGGGAUAACAGUUAGAAAUGACUGCUAAUACCGCAUAAGACCACAGCACCGCAUGGUGCAGGGGUAAAAACUCCGGUGGUAUGAGAUGGACCCGCGUCUGAUUAGGUAGUUGGUGGGGUAACGGCCUACCAAGCCGACGAUCAGUAGCCGACCUGAGAGGGUGACCGGCCACAUUGGGACUGAGACACGGCCCAAACUCCUAUGGGAGGCAGCAGUGGGGAAUAUUGCACAAUGGGGGAAACCCUGAUGCAGCGACGCCGCGUGAGCGAUGAAGUAUUUCGGUAUGUAAAGCUCUAUCAGCAGGGAAGAAAAUGACGGUACCUGACUAAGAAGCACCGGCUAAAUACGUGCCAGCAGCCGCGGUAAUACGUAUGGUGCAAGCGUUAUCCGGAUUUACUGGGUGUAAAGGGAGCGUAGACGGAGUGGCAAGUCUGAUGUGAAAACCCGGGGCUCAACCCCGGGACUGCAUUGGAAACUGUCAAUCUAGAGUACCGGAGAGGUAAGCGGAAUUCCUAGUGUAGCGGUGAAAUGCGUAGAUAUUAGGAGGAACACCAGUGGCGAAGGCGGCUUACUGGACGGUAACUGACGUUGAGGCUCGAAAGCGUGGGGAGCAAACAGGAUUAGAUACCCUGGUAGUCCACGCUGUAAACGAUGAUUACUAGGUGUCGGGGAACCUGGGUUCUUCGGUGCCGCCGCAAACCCAAUAA